rnacentral:rRNA from 1 species
AAUCCAUAGGUUAAUGAGGCGAACCGGGGGAACUGAAACAUCUAAGUACCCCGAGGAAAAGAAAUCAACCGAGAUUCCCCCAGUAGCGGCGAGCGAACGGGGAGGAGCCCAGAGCCUGAAUCAGCAUGUGUGUUAGUGGAAGCGUCUGGAAAGGCGCGCGAUACAGGGUGACAGCCCCGUACACAAAAGCGCAUGUGCUGUGAGCUCGAUGAGUAGGGCGGGACACGUGGUAUCCUGUCUGAAUAUGGGGGGACCAUCCUCCAAGGCUAAAUACUCCUGACUGACCGAUAGUGAACCAGUACCGUGAGGGAAAGGCGAAAAGAACCCCGGCGAGGGGAGUGAAAAAGAACCUGAAACCGUGUACGUACAAGCAGUGGGAGCACAGGUUUACCUGUGUGACUGCGUACCUUUUGUAUAAUGGGUCAGCGACUUAUAUUCUGUAGCAAGGUUAACCGUAUAGGGGAGCCGUAGGGAAACCGAGUCUUAACCGGGCGUUAAGUUGCAGGGUAUAGACCCGAAACCCGGUGAUCUAGCCAUGGGCAGGUUGAAGGUUGGGUAACACUAACUGGAGGACCGAACCGACUAAUGUUGAAAAAUUAGCGGAUGACCUGUGGCUGGGGGUGAAAGGCCAAUCAAACCGGGAGAUAGCUGGUUCUCCCCGAAAGCUAUUUAGGUAGCGCCUCGUGAAUUCAUCUCCGGGGGUAGAGCACUGUUUCGGCUAGGGGGCCAUCCCGGCUUACCAACCCGAUGCAAACUGCGAAUACCGGAGAAUGUUAUCACGGGAGACACACGGCGGGUGCUAACGUCCGUCGUGAAGAGGGAAACAACCCAGACCGCCAGCUAAGGUCCCAAAGUCAUGGUUAAGUGGGAAACGAUGUGGGAAGGCCCAGACAGCCAGGAUGUUGGCUUAGAAGCAGCCAUCAUUUAAAGAAAGCGUAAUAGCUCACUGGUCGAGUCGGCCUGCGCGGAAGAUGUAACGGGGCUAAACCAUGCACCGAAGCUGCGGCAGCGACGCUGAUGCGUUGUUGGGUAGGGGAGCGUUCUGUAAGCCUGUGAAGGUGGCCUGUGAGGGUUGCUGGAGGUAUCAGAAGUGCGAAUGCUGACAUAAGUAACGAUAAAGCGGGUGAAAAGCCCGCUCGCCGGAAGACCAAGGGUUCCUGUCCAACGUUAAUCGGGGCAGGGUGAGUCGACCCCUAAGGCGAGGCCGAAAGGCGUAGUCGAUGGGAAACGGGUUAAUAUUCCCGUACUUGGUGUUACUGCGAAGGGGGGACGGAGAAGGCUAUGUUGGCCGGGCGACGGUUGUCCCGGUUUAAGCGUGUAGGUGUGUGUUCCAGGUAAAUCCGGUUCACUUUAACACUGAGGCGUGACGACGAGGCACUACGGUGCUGAAGCAACAAAUGCCCUGCUUCCAGGAAAAGCCUCUAAGCAUCAGGUAACAUCAAAUCGUACCCCAAACCGACACAGGUGGUCAGGUAGAGAAUACCAAGGCGCUUGAGAGAACUCGGGUGAAGGAACUAGGCAAAAUGGUGCCGUAACUUCGGGAGAAGGCACGCUGACACGUAGGUGAAGUGAUUUACUCAUGGAGCUGAAGUCAGUCGAAGAUACCAGCUGGCUGCAACUGUUUAUUAAAAACACAGCACUGUGCAAACACGAAAGUGGACGUAUACGGUGUGACGCCUGCCCGGUGCCGGAAGGUUAAUUGAUGGGGUCAGCGCAAGCGAAGCUCCUGAUCGAAGCCCCGGUAAACGGCGGCCGUAACUAUAACGGUCCUAAGGUAGCGAAAUUCCUUGUCGGGUAAGUUCCGACCUGCACGAAUGGCGUAAUGAUGGCCAGGCUGUCUCCACCCGAGACUCAGUGAAAUUGAACUCGCUGUGAAGAUGCAGUGUACCCGCGGCAAGACGGAAAGACCCCGUGAACCUUUACUAUAGCUUGACACUGAACAUUGAGCCUUGAUGUGUAGGAUAGGUGGGAGGCUUUGAAGUGUGGACGCCAGUCUGCAUGGAGCCGACCUUGAAAUACCACCCUUUAAUGUUUGAUGUUCUAACGUGGACCCGUUA